rnacentral:rRNA from 1 species
AAUGAACGCUGGCGGCGCGCCUAAUACAUGCAAGUCGAGCGAGAAGACGUAGCAAUACGUUUGUAAAGCGGCGAACGGGUGAGGAAUACAUGGGUAACCUACCCUCGAGUGGGGAAUAACUAGCCGAAAGGUUAGCUAAUACCGCGUACGCUUCUUGGACUUCGGUUCAGGGAGGAAAGCGAUACCGUGGGUAUCGCGCUCUUGGAUGGGCUCAUGUCCUAUCAGCUUGUUGGUGAGGUAACGGCUCACCAAGGCUUCGACGGGUAGCUGGUCUGAGAGGACGAUCAGCCACACUGGCACUGCGACACGGGCCAGACUCCUACGGGAGGCAGCAGUAAGGAAUAUUGCGCAAUGGGCGAAAGCCUGACGCAGCGACGCCGCGUGGGGGAU